rnacentral:rRNA from 1 species
GCAAGUCGAACGGUAACAGGUCUUCGGAUGCUGACGAGUGGCGAACGGGUGAGUAAUACAUCGGAACGUGCCCGAUCGUGGGGGAUAACGGAGCGAAAGCUUUGCUAAUACCGCAUACGAUCUACGGAUGAAAGCAGGGGACCGCAAGGCCUUGCGCGGACGGAGCGGCCGAUGGCAGAUUAGGUAGUUGGUGGGAUAAAAGCUUACCAAGCCGACGAUCUGUAGCUGGUCUGAGAGGACGACCAGCCACACUGGGACUGAGACACGGCCCAGACUCCUACGGGAGGCAGCAGUGGGGAAUUUUGGACAAUGGGCGCAAGCCUGAUCCAGCCAUGCCGCGUGCAGGAUGAAGGCCUUCGGGUUGUAAACUGCUUUUGUACGGAACGAAAAGACUCUGGUUAAUACCUGGGGUCCAUGACGGUACCGUAAGAAUAAGCACCGGCUAACUACGUGCCAGCAGCCGCGGUAAUACGUAGGGUGCAAGCGUUAAUCGGAAUUACUGGGCGUAAAGCGUGCGCAGGCGGUUAUGUAAGACAGAUGUGAAAUCCCCGGGCUCAACCUGGGAACUGCAUUUGUGACUGCAUAGCUAGAGUACGGCAGAGGGGGAUGGAAUUCCGCGUGUAGCAGUGAAAUGCGUAGAUAUGCGGAGGAACACCGAUGGCGAAGGCAAUCCCCUGGGCCUGUACUGACGCUCAUGCACGAAAGCGUGGGGAGCAAACAGGAUUAGAUAUCCUGGUAGUCCACGCCCUAAACGAUGUCAACUGGUUGUUGGGAAUUCACUUUCUCAGUAACGAAGCUAACGCGUGAAGUUGACCGC